rnacentral:rRNA from 1 species
AGAGCGAACGCUGGCGGCAGGCCUAACACAUGCAAGUCGAACGGACUCUUCGGAGUUAGUGGCGGACGGGUGAGUAACACGUGGGAACGUGCCUUUAGGUUCGGAAUAGCUCCUGGAAACGGGUGGUAAUGCCGAACGUGCCCUUCGGGGGAAAGAUUUAUCGCCUUUAGAGCGGCCCGCGUCUGAUUAGCUAGUUGGUGAGGUAAAGGCUCACCAAGGCUACGAUCAGUAGCUGGUCUGAGAGGAUGACCAGCCACAUUGGGACUGAGACACGGCCCAAACUCCUACGGGAGGCAGCAGGUGGGGAA